rnacentral:rRNA from 1 species
UACGGGGGGGGGGCAAGCGUUGUUCGGAAUUACUGGGCGUAAAGGGCUCGUAGGCGGCCAACUAAGUCGGAUGUGAAAUCCCCAGGCUCAACCUGGGAACUGCAUCCGAUACUGGAUGGCUUGAAUUCGGGAGAGGGAUGCAGAAUUCCAGGUGUAGCGGUGAAAUGCGUAGAUAUCUGGAGGAAUACCGGUGGCGAAGGCGGCAUCCUGGACCGACAUUGACGCUGAGGAGCGAAAGCCAGGGGAGCAAACGGG